GGUGAACGCUGGCGGUAGGCCUAACACAUGCAAGUCGAACGGCAGCACAGUAAGAGCUUGCUCUUACGGGUGGCGAGUGGCGGACGGGUGAGGAAUACAUCGGAAUCUACUUUUUCGUGGGGGAUAACGUAGGGAAACUUACGCUAAUACCGCAUACGACCUACGGGUGAAAGCAGGGGAUCUUCGGACCUUGCGCGAUUGAAUGAGCCGAUGUCGGAUUAGCUAGUUGGCGGGGUAAAGGCCCACCAAGGCGACGAUCCGUAGCUGGUCUGAGAGGAUGAUCAGCCACACUGGAACUGAGACACGGUCCAGACUCCUACGGGAGGCAGCAGUGGGGAAUAUUGGACAAUGGGCGCAAGCCUGAUCCAGCCAUACCGCGUGGGUGAAGAAGGCCUUCGGGUUGUAAAGCCCUUUUGUUGGGAAAGAAAAGCAGCAGGUUAAUACCCUGCUGUUCUGACGGUACCCAAAGAAUAAGCACCGGCUAACUUCGUG
rnacentral:rRNA from 1 species